rnacentral:rRNA from 1 species
UACAGAGGGUGCUAGCGUUGUUCGGAAUCAUUGGGCGUAAAGCGCACGUAGGCGGUUCGUUAAGUCGGAUGUGAAAGCCCUCGGCUCAACUGAGGAAGUGCACCCGAAACUGGCGAGCUUGAGUACGAAAGAGGAUCGCGGAAUUCCAGGUGUAGCGGUGAAAUGCGUAGAUAUCUGGAGGAACACCGGUGGCGAAGGCGGCGUUCUGGACUGCAACUGACACUGAUGAACGAAAGCCAGGGGAGCAAACGGG